GUGGGAACCUUCUAAAGAUUGGAGUGGUGCUACAUUCCUGUCUUUUCAUGAGCAUGUUAUCAGCCUACAUGUGCAAAAAACAAAAUCGAUUGGUAUUACACAGGGUUUACAAAUUAAAAAAGUCUUUUGUUAGACCAACAUGUAUUGUGUUUGUAAUCGUUCAGAACAAAAAAUAACUUAAUACUGAACUUCGAACAAAUGAUCGAGUACCUUAAAUCCUAAAUAGAAGAAAGCUCCCCGGUAUGCAAUGUCCGGGAGUUCGUAUGUGUAUAUUUUGGCCUCCUGAUGGAGGCGUUUCAUGAGUAGUCUUGUGUUGACCUUACUGCCUAAGUGCACUUUGCACUGUCAGGUGUUUUCUUUUGAUUCCUCUACUCCCUUAGAGCCUUUAUAGAUUCUUGUUGAAAUCUUAAUACGGAAGCAAAAACUGCUACUUUUAGUCAAUAAAUAAAUAAAUAGCAGAACAAAGCCAAUUUUGUAGUUCUAAACAUGUUUUGUUAGCAAUUUACCAACCUACUAUGGAUUGCCUCAAUGAUCUUCUUGUAGUCGAGAGCCACCAACUCACCACGGACCCAGGUCAUCUAACCGGCCGCCUUGCCAUUCCGCCACUAAAACAUAAGAACAUUUCUGAUUCCUUCUGCAGUGCAUCCAGUGUUAUGCAGGUAUCUCCCUUGAGGCUCCUCUUUCCCUUGUUGAGUUGUCCCAACUUCGAGUUCUGACUUAGCUGCCAAAUAAUGAACAUUUUAUUAGUUCCAACUAUAUCUUUUGUAACUAAUUAAAACAUGCACAACUUUCGCCCGUCAGCUCUAUAAAUUACAUUAAAAGUGGAAUAAUCAUAAUUACAAUUUCGCAAGUAAUCUAGCUGUUAUAGUGAACCUACGGGAAAGAUGGAAAUAAAUUUCAUCAAUGAUAAGGAUACUAAAGGUCUAUAUCUGUAUGGAUUUGUCCUGAACAAUUCUGAAUGGCAGAAAGAAAGCUAAUGUCGACAGGGAAAAAUUGGUAGAGUCAAGAUCAUAUGUUUUAAACAAAAACAACUCCAUGUAGCCCAGCAGCUGGAACAUCAAUGUAAUGAUCCAAUCAGAAGCCUGCAGUGAAUUACUAUGAACAAAUAGAAAUGGGUGUCUUCAUGCCUACCAAAAAUAACAUAAAAACGCUCUCCACCUCCCCAAACAAACCAUUGCUUCCACAACCACUUAUUUUUUCGCCACCUUGUUCCCAAAAAAUCCAACAAAAGCAUUAUCGAAAGAGAAUAACAUGUUAUGACGUGCUAACUGAAUUCCUACACUACUGUAGGAUGGUUGGCCUGGCGAAUUCAAGAGUUAAAAAGUGAUAGGGAAAAUAGAUUAUAAACAGUUAAGCUGAAUCGGUUAUGACCUUGAAGUUGAGAAGACCAUGUACAAUAUUUUUUCCGUUAAGAAACACUGUAGAUCAGCAUACAUUCUGGUCUACUGUAAAACUAAAACUAAACAUGUCAAUCGUUGCAAAGAUGGGAAAAUAUUGGCAGGUUAGUACAGUGAAGAGAGAUGAAAGAGGCGACUAAUAAGCUAGAAGGGGUGCAGCAGGGUGAAACGAAGAAGAGAGCAAAUCAACCACUUGCUUGACUUCCUUACCAUGUCCUUGGCUCCAUGUCCACCCAGUUCGUACUAUGCUUAGCCAGUGAUAGAAUGUAUUUCUGUCUGGGUGAGUUGAACUGAAACUCUGAAGCGGGCAUCGUUCUAAAACACUGCGUGUGUCUGUAUGUCCACAGAAAUUAGAGGGAGCGACAGAGAUUAUGAGGGUGUGCGCCUACGGACCCAAACUUACAGAGAAAACCCAAGACAGCAGGAAUGCUGAAGAGAUCAGAAGAUGGCGGGGCAAACACGGCGGCGUGUUGCCUCAUAGUGCACAUCCAUGUCUAACUCUCGGUCCUUCCUCUCCGUGUCCUCCUCCUCCUCUGCUGUCAGGGUCGUCGUCGUGAUCUGCCACAGAAAAAAAAUGAACACGUCGCUCGAUCAGUCAACAAUAGAGGGGAACCAUCGUGUCAGGGCCACUGUAGGGCGGCCGUCAGAAUGGAGGGCAAUGGAGGUUCCCCGCGUCGUCCUCUGCGUGGAAGACGCCUCGAUCCGCAGGGGCUCCGGGUGUGGGGACUGGCCAGGUUGGAGGAGAAGAGUAGGGGGG
rnacentral:lncRNA from 1 species